CUCAGAGCUCUGUGCACUCCCAGCUGAGAGAAACCCAGCCAAGGGCUUUUCCCAUAUACAGGAGAGCCUCUAAUUUAAAUGAGUGCUAUUAACUUUGGUUGUCCUCUCAAUGGUUUUUAGUUUAAAAUUAACAAAGCAUAUGACUGAGUUUUUCUCAGAGUGGCUUCCAAAAGGAUCCAGGAGGCAGGAGAGUAUGGUGAGACCUGGCAGGUAGGAGAGCUGCCCCUGUGAAGCCUGCUUACUCCAGCUAGAGUGCUCUCUCUCACUUUAAUACUCACCCUGUUCCCAUCUUAAUGACAUUUCACUCAAUCAAAGAAGAUGUGCUGCAAAAAUAAAGAAAUGGUCUGAAUGAAACCUGGGAUUAUGAAUUCUUUCCCACGUCAUGCUGAACCUUGGGAAGCUUUCCAUACAGCAGGCUCGGAGUCAGGGGACCAUUAAAAGCUUUCAGCUCGGCUUUGCAGUAUGCAAGAGACAAGUGACAAAAGUCAUCCCUUCCCCUAUUUCAUCCAGAAGCUUGCAGAGCUGUUUUUCUUUGGAGCAGGAGCUUGAAAAUCAGCUGGCUAUUACCUGGCAGCCAGGUUAUGGCUUCUUAAAAGAGACCUUUUGA
rnacentral:lncRNA from 1 species